rnacentral:rRNA from 1 species
GUCGAGAAUCAUUCACAAUGGGGGAAACCCUGAUGGUGUGACGCCGCGUGGAGGAUGAAGGUCUUCGGAUUGUAAACUCCUGUCAUGUGGGAGUAAAGCCGGGUGUUAAAUGCAUGCCGGUCUGAGAGUACCACAAGAGGAAGGGACGGCUAACUCUGUGCCAGCAGCCGCGGUAAUACAGAGGUCCCAAGCGUUGUUCGGAAUCACUGGGCGUAAAGGGUGCGUAGGCGGCGUGGUAAGUCAGAUGUGAAAUCCCGGGGCUCAACCUCGGAACUGCAUCCGAUACUGCCAUGCUUGAGGGCUGGAGAGGUAACUGGAAUUCUCGGUGUAGCAGUGAAAUGCGUGGAUAUCGAGAGGAACACUCGUGGCGAAGGCGAGUUACUGGACAGCAUCUGACGCUGAGGCACGAAGGCCAGGGGAGCGAAAGGGAUUAGAUACCCCAGUAGUCC